rnacentral:pre_miRNA from 1 species
AGUACAAUUGCUGGGUUGUAUGGUAAGUACAUGUUUAUUUUUAUAAGAAACUGCCAAACUAUUUUCUGGAGUGACUGUACCAUUUAAAAUUUCUACCAGCAAU